rnacentral:rRNA from 1 species
CCUACGGGUGGCAGCAGUAAGGGAUAUUGGUCAAUGGGGGAAACCCUGAACCAGCAACGCCGCGUGGGGGAAGACGGUUUUCGGAUUGUAAACCUCUGUUCUCUGUGAAGAUGAUGACGGUAGCUGAGGAAUAAGCACCGGCUAACUCCGUGCCAGCAGCCGCGGUAAUACGUAGGGUGCGAGCGUUGCUCGGAUUUACUGGGUGUAAAGGGUGCGUAGGCGGCAUGGCAAGUCAGUUGUGAAAUCCAAGGGCUUAACCCAAGAACUGCAAUUGAAACUGUUAUGCUUGAGUGAGGGAGAGGUAGGCGGAAUUCUUGGUGUAGGGGUAAAAUGCGUAGAGAUCAAGAGGAAUACUAGUGGCGAAGGCGACCUGCUGGGACUUAACUGACGCUGAGGCACGAAAGCGUGGGUAGCAAACAGGAUUAGAUACCCGUGUAGUC